rnacentral:rRNA from 1 species
AUUGAACGCUGGCGGUAGGCCUGAUACAUGCAAGUCGAGGGGUAACGAAGGAAGCUUGCUUCCUGUCGACGACCGGCGGACGGGUGAGUAAUGCAUAGAAAACUACCCUAUAAUGGGGGAUAGCUUGAAGAAAUUCAAGGUAAUACCGCAUAUUAUCUACGGAUGAAAGGGGGCUUCGGCUCUCGUUAUAGGAUGUGUCUAUGUGGGAUUAGUUUGUUGGUGAGGUAAUGGCUCACCAAGGCGACGAUCUCUAGCUGGUUUGAGAGAAUGAUCAGCCACACUGGGACUGAGACACGGCCCAGACUCCUACGGGAGGCAGCAGUAAGGAAUAUUGGACAAUGGGGGCAACCCUGAUCCAGCCAUACCGUGUGUGUGAAGAAUGUCUUAGGAUUGUAAAGCACUUUUAGUAAUGAGAAAGGGGUAAAAGUUAAUACCUUUUAUCUUUGAUGUUAGUUACAGAAAAAGCACCGGCUAACUUCGUGCCAGCAGCCGCGGUAAUACGAAGGGCGCAAGCGUUAAUCGGAAUUACUGGGCGUAAAGCGUGCGUAGGUGGUUUUGUAAGUCAGAUGUGAAAGCCUUGGGCUCAACCCAAGAACUGCAUUUGAUACUGCAAGGCUAGAGUAUAGCAGAGGGUGACGGAAUUUCCUGUGUAGUAGUAAAAUGCUUAGAUACUGGAAGGAACACCAAAAGCGAAGGCAGUUGCCUGGGCUAUUACUGACACUGAGGUACGAAAGCGCGGGUAGCAAACAGGAUUAGAUACCCUGGUAGUCCGCGCCGUAAACGAUGAUAACUUGCCGUCAAGAUUAGUCUUGGUGGCGGAGCUAACGCGUUAAGUUAUCCGCCUGGGGAGUACGGUCGCAAGAUUAAAACUCAAAUGAAUUGACGGGGGCCCGCACAAGCGGUGGAGUAUGUGGUUUAAUUCGAUGCAACACGAAGAACCUUACCUACCCUUGACAUCCAGAGAAUUUGGUAGAGAUACUAAAGUGCCUUAGGGAACUCUGAGACAGGUGCUGCAUGGCUGUCGUCAGCUCGUGUUGUGAAAUGUUGGGUUAAGUCUCGUAACGAGCGCAACCCCUGUCCCUUGUUGCUAACGCGUAAUGGCGAGGACUCUAGGGAGACUGUCGGUGUAAACCGGAGGAAGGUGGGGACGACGUCAAGUCAUCAUGGCUUUUACGGGUAGGGCUACACACGUGCUACAAUGGAUGGUACAAAGCGUUGCAAAGUCGCAAGAUGUAGCUAAUCGCCAAAGCCAUCCUUAGUUCGGAUUGCACUCUGAAACUCGAGUGCAUGAAGUUGGAAUCGCUAGUAAUCGCGUGUCAGUAAAGCGCGGUGAAUACGUUCUCGGGCCUUGUACACACCGCCCGUCACACCAUGGGAGUGACUGAUUCUUGAAAUGGGUAGCCUAACCUGCAAAGGAGGGGGCUCAUAACGGAGUUUUUCAUGACUGGGGUG